rnacentral:misc_RNA from 1 species
GAUGAAGAACGUAGCGAAUUGCGAUAAGUAAUGUGAAUUGCAGAUUUUCAGUGAAUCAUCGAAUCUUUGAACGCACCUUGCGCUCCUUGGUAUUCCGAGGAGCAUGCCUGUUUGAGUGUCAUUAAAUUCUCAACUACACUGACUUUGAAUUGGUGUGGCUUGGAUUUGGGGGGAAAAUUGUUGUGGGCUUUUUGUAUAGUCUGCUCCCCUGAAAUUGAUUAGCGGUACCUUUGUGGAACUGUCUACAGGUGUGAUAAUUAUCUACAUCUUAGACAUCUGCUGGAAUGCUGCUUUCUAAACCUUACUUGUAUUGACAAUCUUGACCUCAAAUCAGGUAGGACUACCCGCUGAACUUAAGCAUAUCAAUAAGCGGAGGA